GAUGAAGAACGUAGCGAAAUGCGAUAAGUAAUGUGAAUUGCAGAAUUCAGUGAAUCAUCGAAUCUUUGAACGCGCAUUGCGCCCGCCAGUAUUCUGGCGGGCAUGCCUGUUCGAGCGUCAUUUCAACCAUCAAGCCCCAGGCUUGUGUUGGGGACCUGCGGCUGCCGCAGGCCCUGAAAACCAGUGGCGGGCUCGCUGUCACACCGGGCGUAGUAGAUUUUAUCUCGCUCUGGGCGUGCUGCGGGUUCCGGCCGUUAAAAAACCCUUUUAACCCAAGGUUGACCUCGGAUCAGGUAGGAAUACCCGCUGAACUUAAGCAUAUCAAUAAGCGGAGGA
rnacentral:misc_RNA from 1 species